GGUUAAGCGACUAAGCGUACACGGUGGAUGCCUAGGCAAUCAGAGGCGAUGAAGGACGUGCUAAUCUGCGAAAAGCGUCGGUAAGGUGAUAUGAACCGUUAUAACCGACGAUGUCCGAAUGGGGAAACCCAGUGCAAUUCGUUGCACUAUCGUUUGAUGAAUCCAUAGUCAAACGAGGCGAACCGGGGGAACUGAAACAUCUCAGUACCCCGAGGAAAAGAAAUCAACCGAGAUUCCCCUAGUAGCGGCGAGCGAACGGGGAGCAGCCCAGAGUCUUAAUCAGCAUCAGCAUCAGGAGAACGGUCUGGAAAGGCCGGCAAUAAAGGGUGAUAGCCCCGUAUCCGAAGGUGUUGGUGUUGUGAACUCGACGAGUAGGGCGGGACACGUGUUAUCCUGUCUGAAUAUGGGGGGACCAUCCUCCAAGGCUAAAUACUCCUGAUUGACCGAUAGUGAACCAGUACCGUGAGGGAAAGGCGAAAAGAACCCCGGCGAGGGGAGUGAAAUAGAACCUGAAACCGUGUACGUACAAGCAGUGGGAGCC
rnacentral:rRNA from 2 species